rnacentral:rRNA from 1 species
GGUAGGGUAAUGGCCUACCAAGGCAACGAUGGUUAGCUGGUCUGAGAGGAUGAUCAGCCACACUGGAACUGAGACACGGUCCAGACUCCUACGGGAGGCAGCAGUGAGGAAUAUUGCGCAAUGGGGGCAACCCUGACGCAGCAACGCCGCGUGAGUGAGGAAGGUUUUCGGACCGUAAAGCUCUGUCGAGCGGGAAGAAAUGCAUAGUGGCUAAUAUCCAUUAUGCUUGACGGUACCGCUAAAGGAAGCACCGGCUAACUCCGUGCCAGCAGCCGCGGUAAUACGGGGGGUGCUAGCGUUGUUCGGAAUCAUUGGGCGUAAAGAGCGUGUAGGCGGCUGGAUAAGUCAGAUGUGAAAGCCCUGGGCUUAACCCAGGAAGUGCAUUUGAAACUGUUCAGCUUGAGUAAGGGAGAGGAAAGUGGAAUUCCUGGUGUAGAGGUGAAAUUCGUAGAUAUCAGGAGGAACACCGGUGGCGAAGGCGACUUUCUGGCCCUAUACUGACGCUGAGACGCGAGAGCGUGGGUAGCAAACAGGAUUAGAUACCCUGGUAGUCCACGCUGUAAACGAUGUUCACUAGGUGUUGGGGGUAUUGACCCUCUCAGUGCCGCAGCUAACGCA